rnacentral:lncRNA from 1 species
CCCUUCAAACUGUUCUACACUUUCUACCUUAAGGGCAUCAAAGACUUGCCUCAGGAGCUUAUUUCCCAGUAUGUUGAGCCCAGCCCUGAUGUUGAGCCCAGCGCCGCUGCCAAGGCCCUUGAACCACAUGCUGUUAUUUCUGGUUUCCAAAACUGAGCACCAUUCAAGACUCUAUGAUGUUAUUAUAUAUAGAUUUUCAUCUAUCGGUUUUAACUAGAGAGAAAUAUUUGGUAGCAUAUAACUCACUGUACUCAUUAUAAAACACUCUUGGUCUCCCUUCUUUCACAGUGUAUUAUUACAACCAAAACUUUAUUGUGUACUUUCUGACUUUGCACCCAUUAUAGUUUUUCUCAGAUUCUAAGAUCUCAUUGAUUGUAAGGGUAUGUGAGGAAGUGAAAACUAGUUAGAAAGUCAUAUACAAAUCAGAAAAAAUACUCACAUGAAAAGAUGACAUCAACCAAUAUUUCCUUACCUCUACCUCGUAUUUUUUAGGAGAAAAUUGUGAUUUGUGGGCUGCAAAAUUAACAACUUAUUUGAGAGUAAUCCAGCCCCUUUACAACUAACUCAACAGUGGCUCAAAUAAGAUUCCGUGAAGAAGUGGUAAAGGGAACUUGUCAUUAUACAUUAAGUUUUACAUCAAGAUUAUUUUAUCAUUGAUCUUGAGACAGCAAAAGAGGCUUGGGACAAGUUCAAGGUAGAGUUCCAAGGAAAUAAAAGAACUAAGAAAGAUGAAAGAGUUGAAUUUGAGAACAGAAUUUGAAGCAAUCAAAAUGAAGGAGUGUGAAACAUAAAAGAGUUUUCUCACAUUCCAAAAUGGUUAUCAAAUUAGAUUGUUAGGUGAAGAGCUUAAAGUGGAAAAAAUUUGGUGUCUUCUGGCCAAGUUUGAGUAAAAAGUUUCAUCAGAAGAAAAUAAAGACUUUUAUCUGAUUUUAUUUGUAGAACUUGUGAAUGCUUUACAAGCCACUCAGUAAAGAAGAUCACUAAGAAAUAGGGACGACAAAAAUAUCGAUGCUUGUAGAUAUUUGUGAAUAAAAUCCACCUUGAAUAGUUAGUAUUUUCAAAUAUUUAUUAUCCGUAACUACAAAAAUAUAUGAUUAUAUCAGUGGUUUAUUAAUGGCAGUUUUAACUCCAACUAAAUGCAUUUUCCGCAGCUGGCAAAAUCGCCGGAAAAAUUGCCAUCGCAAAUAAUUUCUAGCGGUUUUAUUCAAAAUCGCCAUUAUUUGCAGGGAUUUUGUAAAAAUCCUCGCCAUUUAUGAUGGUUUUUGAAACUACGAUCUAUUUUAGGAUUUUUAUAAAGGAAAAUGAUAUUUUGACAACAUUUUUUGAUAAUUUUUUUACAACGGGACACGUGUCAUCAUUUUAUUGGUCUAUUUGAAUUUAUGUUUAAAAAAUAUUUAAAACGGACCAAUCACAAGCUACCACAUAUGCGUUGUCAAAAAAUUGUUAAAAAAGUGUUGUUAAAAGAAGUUUUUCCUUUUACAAAAACCGCUCAUACUUGUUGGGCAACUAAAACUGCCAGAACUUGCAUGGGUUGUCCAAAAUCCUCAGGACUUGUGUAGGUUGUCCAAAACCUCGGAAAUUUCUGAAUUUACUUAAUUGAGGUUUCAAAAUCAGCCAGGAAUACAAUUAAUUUAAUUCUUUUUAAAUGAUUUGUUUAAUUUGAUUAACAACAAAUAUGUUUAGUUAUAAAUCAUAAUAAUCUAAAACCAAAAAUAAUUAAUAUUAUAUAAAAUAAUAAUGAACAUUAAAAAUACAAAUAGUUUCUCAACUAAAUAAUUCCUCAUGGUUCUUAAUAACAAGCUUUAAAACAUGUUAUUUCUAUUUCAUUUCAUGUCUAAGCUACAACUGCUUCACCGUUGGUUUCUCUUGAAUUGCACUCUUCUCAUGGUCACCUUCAAGCUCGUUUAAAUUUUCCUUCUCCUUAAUCAAUUGCAUAGAAACUAAUAAAUAUAAAUAAGUAUACAAAAUAAAAAUAGUUUUUAAAGUAGAUCACAUCUUUUAUUUUAUUUUUUCAUAUCACGAUAUAUAUUAAAAUUUAUACAGAAAAUGAAAUUAUAAUUAAUAACAAAAGAAUUAGCAUUAUCUUAAACUUAAUAAAAAUUAACAAUGAAAAAGAAGAAAAAAAAGUUCCAAUAAUAAAAAGAAACACAACCUUAAACACAUAUUUUAAAUAAGACGGAUAUGUUGGAAUUUAACAAAUUUUUACACCUAUCUUUAUAUAUUAUAUUGUAUAUAUCCUUCAAAGUCUUUUACUCCUUACAAAUAAAAAUUACAUCUUGUAUGGUAUAAUGUCUAACCUGAACGUUAAGCUCGUACCAUUUAGGUUAUCCCUUUAAUUGUAAGAAAAACAGAUGAAAAGGUUUUAUAGGUGUUGGACUAUAAUUGGGUCAGCGCUAAAGUUAUUGUUAUUGGGCCAGUGGUUUUGGUAGACAAAUAUGUUGAGAUUGUUGACAACACAAUCUAUAUCACUCUGGUUUUUUAUGAUGAUAACACAUAUUUAAUAACACACAUAUGUUGUUGUUGUGUUACAUGUUCUUAUGCUUAUUGUUUGGAAUAUUUGUUGAACAUGUUUAUGUGAUAUAUUGUUAUGUGAAUGCAUGCUUAUUGAGCUUGUACAUGUUACAUCAUUUCUGGAUGCAUUACACAUGUUUGAAAGAAUGAAAACCACAAACACUUUUAUGAACUUAUAACUAUGUGACAAAGCUACAGUGAAGUCGACUCCAUUACUAUUGAAUCGACUAUGCUAAACUCUUUGUACAAAUUUUGAGAAUUAGUGCUAUGUGAGAUUUGUGAAGGAAAGAAUUUCAAUUUGCUUUGACAUGUUAAAGUUGAUUGUGUGCGCCACACAUUCGACUGUAUUAGUUGUUUGCUUUGAAAUUCUGUUAUGCUCAUGAACAGUAACGACUAUAUUUUCAAAAGUUAGUUGAGCAUUGAUUAAGAGUCAACAAAAUUAAAUGAACAUUGAAUUUGUUUGACUGAAUGCUACCAGUCUGACUUAACUUUUAUAAUUGUUUUAACAUAGUCGAUUGAAUUAGUAGCAUAUUCGACUAUGAAAAUGUCUGAUAUACAGAAUUCUAUAAAUUACUGGAACACGGAGUUGUUCUAAGACUUUUGAUGAUCUAACAUUUUCAGAUUCUACUUCAGAUUAAUUCUCAGAGAUUAUAGAGCUCUAAGAAUUCUCCAAAAAGACGAUGGUGAUCUUUCUUAAAAGAUAUUCAAAGGGAGACUAACUGCGCACACAUUGCUUGAUUAUAUAUUUGCACAUUGGGGUGUUCUCUAGUUGAUUAAGAUUCUUGUUGGCAUCCAUUGAUGAUUGCUAUUGCGACCUGUUGUGACUAUAGGGGAUAGACUCGUGGAGUCUGGUUCACUUUGAGGACUGUUCAAAGUGGUUUGGCAGAUUGCAGGAGAGGGGACAUCUUGCUGCAAGUCUUGCUGUGUUGUUUUGGCUAUAUUUUGGUUAGAGGGUUAAAGAGAAGACUUAUAUUUUUGACAUGGAGGUCUUCUAUAAAUUCCUUGCUGUAAAAACCUUGACCAUUAUAGUGCAAUUGCUUCCUGGUAUUGGAAGGACACUGGAUGUAGGCAUUGAGGCCGAACCAAUACAAAAACCAGUGUUUGAAUUUCUUUAUCUCUGCUCUUUUAAUUACAGUUGAUUUUAUUAUCUACGUAGUCAACUACGAUUUUUCGUUGCACACAAUUUUCAUUACUUGCAAUUCAAGAAAGUUUUGUAAAGUUUUAUACUUUUAUUUAAAGAUUGCAAAAAGACUCUGAUUUUGAAAACCCACCAAUUAACCCCCCCCCCCCUCUUGGUGUAAAAAGAAGCCUACCUAUUUUCCAACAAAGUAGUUAAUAAAUUAGUAACAAAAUGAUUAAAGAUAUCGAUAACUGAUUACCAGUUAAUGAAGUUGUUUAUUGAUAACAUACCGAAUUUAAAGGUAAGUCCGUUUUAUUGGGCCAAUGUCAAUUUAGGCUCCAUAAAAUAUUUAUAAAUAGAAAGUUAAGUCCCAAAGGUAAGCAAGUUUCAUGGAGUUCCAAUAACUAAUUUGGAGUACUUACUUUCUAUUGAAUAUUAUCACUAUAAUCAUGCAAAACUUGAGCGUCAGAGUACCUUUUGCAGGUAUCCUCCCACCCGGCUCGGACUUAAAAAAAUUGAAGUAGGAGGUUCAGAGGUUAGAGGAUAAGGAAGGCGACAACAGAAAAAGUGUGUCUCUUAGCCCUACUCAAUUAUAUGCAGGAACAUUUUAGUGCCCACCGUGAGGCCAAGCGGCAUCCCCUAUAACCACAAGGAACCAGACAAUGAUGUAGUCUCAACAUCAUUAUGUUGACCAGACCCCUACAUAUUGAUCCUGAUUGUAGAAACUUUCAAGUUUAAGAUUUAUUCUUGGUCCAAUGGUGCACUCACCACUUAGCCAAAUUUGGCAUCAAGGGUUUAACCAUUCAACUAUUUGGCAAUUCGACCUCAACUGCUCGGCCAUCCAUGGCCUCAGGUACAUAGCCAAAUUUGGCGUCAAGUGUUUAGCCAUUCGACCUCACAAGUAUUCGGUCAUUCAGCCUCAAUUGCUUGGCCUUCCAUGGCCUCAGGUAUUUAGCCAAAUUUGGCAUCAAGUGUUCAACCAUUCAGUCAUUCGGCCUCACAAGUAUUCGGUCAUUCGGCCUCAACUGCUCUGUCUUCCAUGGCCUCAGGUACUUAGCCAAAUUUGGCGUCAAGUGUUCAACCAUUCAACCAUUCAGCCUCACAGGUAUUUGACCCUUCGGCCUCAACUGCUCGGCCUUUCUUGGCUUCAGUUACUUAGCCAAAUUUGGCAUCAAGUGUUCAACCAUUUGGCCAUUCGACCUCAACUACUCGGCCUUCCAUCACCUCAGGUAUUUAGCCAAAUUUGGCAUCAAGUAUUCGGUCAUUCGGCCUCACAGGUAUUCGGUCAUUCGGCCUCAACUGCUCGACCUUCCAUGGUCUCAGGUAGUUAGCCAAAUUUGGCAUCAAGUGUUCAACCAUUCGGCCUCACAAGUAUUCGGCCCUUCGGCCUCAACUACUCGGCCUUCCAUGGCUUCAUGUACUUAGCCAAAUUUGGCGUCAAGUGUUCAACCAUUCGACCAUUCGGCCUCACAAGUAUUCGGUCAUUCGACCUCAAUUGCUUGGCCUUCCAUGGCUUCAGGUAUUUAGCCAAAUUUCUCAUCAAGUGUUCAACCAUUCGACCAUUCGGCCUCACAGGUAUUCGGCCUUUAGGCCUCAACUGCUCGACCUUCCAUGGCCUCAGGUACUUAGCCUAAUUUGCAUCAUGUGUUCAACAAUUCGGCUAUUCGGCCUCACAAGCUUUAUGUGCUUCUUUAUUGCUUCCUUGUUAUUUCAAAAUGUACCAAUUGCUUGUAAGCCAUCAAGCCGAUCGCUCUUAUCCAUAUGACCGGUGGAAGUUUGUCCAGAAAAUUAAUAUUUACAGGGUAUAGCCUGAGAAGACCUUGGUCUCUCUACAGUUCGAUUAGUUGGACGGCAUAUAUUAAGCCUUGCUAGCUUGGCUUUAGUUCGAGCCUCAACCCGACACCUCAACUCUUAUUUAGCGUCUCUCGAGCGGUGAUAGUUCAUAUAGUCAUCAUCGACAUCUUCUGCUAUUCUUUUAUGUAGGUUGGAGGGUAGUAAAACACCUACAAGCUCAUCCAUAACACAUUCUAAUAUGGAUUUCAGUUUUGGUCUCCAAACAUUCAAUCAAAGACCUAGUGGUCUUACUUGCUUCGUCGUCCAAUCUUAUAGCAUAAACUAUUUUGAUAUUAAUUGUCUAAACUUGUAAAUGCAUUGGUUUGAUUGGCUACACUUUUUCUCACCAUUUAAAUUUAUUUGUUAUAUUUCUGCAAUGCAGAUGACAGGAUCCUGCAUGCAAAUCACUUGGCCAAUCGAGAGCCUGUUGUUCGGGCUGUCUCACAAAACCCAUGAAACGUUCGCCAAGAACUCCUGGUCUAAACUGAGUUGUGAUAAAAGUUCUCAGCGAAUUGUCACUCUCAUCCACAAAACCUAGGGAAUGUUCGCCAAAAACUCCUGGUCUAAACCGAGUUGUGAUAUAUGUUCUCAACGAACAGUCACUCUCGUCCAGAAAACCUAGGGAACGUUCGCCAAGAACUCCUGGUCUAAACUAAGUUGUGAUAAAAGUUCUCAGUGAACUAUCACUCUCGUCCACAAAACCCAGGGAAUGUUAGCCAAGAACUCCUGAUCUAAACCGAGUUAUGAUAAAAGUUCUUAGUGAACUGUCACACUCAUCCACAAAACACAGGGAACGUUCUCCAAGAACUUCUGGUCCAAAUCGAGUUGUGAGGAAUGUUCUUAACAAACCCCUAGUCCAAACUACGCGGUGAGGAACUUUUUCAUUAAACUCACUCUCGUCCAAGAAACCUAGGGACCGUUUUCAAUGAACUCCUAGUAUCAACUGGGUGUACAGAUAACAGGAUCUUGCAUGCGAGCCACUCAGCCAACUUUGAGCAACCGCUCAAGUAGAAACGUUCUCUGUGAACUCUCACCCGAGUUUCUUCGACCUGGGGAACGUUCUAAGUGAACUCCUAGAAUUUGCCUCUUGGUGCAGGGAGGAAUGAAGACUUAAGGCGCAUCGAACACAACCUCCCUAAUAUUUUUCAAUGGUUACGGUACCAUGCCUCGAGUUGGGUCCAUCACUUAGGCUUAUUAUAAGUCCUAUACUUAAUUAUGGUUAACUCGGACUCAGAGGGCAUGUGUAUGGUAUACUGUCUAAUCCAAACGAUAAGCUCGUACAGUUUGGGCUAUCCCUUUAAUUAUAAGGAAAGCAGAUGAAAAUACUUUAUGGGUGUUGGGCCAUAAUUGGACCAAUGCUAAAGUUAUUGUUAUUGGGCCAGUGGUUUGGGUAAACAAGCAGUUAACAAAUUAGUAACAAAAUUAUUAGAGAUAUUGAUAACUGAUUGUGAGUUGAUGAAGUUGUUUAUUAAUAAUAGACCGAAUUUAAAGGUAAGUCUGUUUUAUUGGGCCAAUGUCAAUUUAGGAUCCAUAAAAUAUUUAUAAAUAAAAAGUUAAGUCGCAAAGGUAAGCAAAUUUCAUGGAGUUCCAAUAACUAAUUCGAAGUACUUACUCUCUAUUGAAUAUUAUCACUAUUAUCACACAAAGUUACUGACUUGAGCGUUAGAAUACACAAAGUUGAAUGAAAAGUUUAGAGGUCAAAAGAUUAAAAAAAAGGCGACAAGAGAAAGGUGUCUCUCUUGGCCCUAGUCAAUUAUAUAUGCAAGAACACAUUUUAAUGAUAAUAUUAAAGUAUUAAUCCAUCAUUUUCCUUUUAAACAAGAUAUCAAAUCACGUCACAUUGACCCAAGAGUGUUUGUUAAAAAGGCCACAUGACACACGUUAUUAUUAGAUUUCCGUCUAUAAAACCCACGUUUUUGCUUAAACACUAACAAUUUUUUGGUCCUUCAAAGCAAAUACACGCGUGUAGCUGCAAAAGCAAACCCAAACACGCUUUUACUUACAACUACUCUUCCAAUGAAAUCCAAACGCGCAUACCAGCACUUGACCAUUCACUUCCCUCGUUGACCUUCUUCUUCUUGACAACAUUCUUCACGUUUCACUUCAAUAUUUUAUAUUUUUUAUCUUCUUUCCAUAGAGAUGUCACACCUUGAUUACUAGGAAAAAAUUAUUUCACAUAUCAAAUUUUUUUAAGUUCAUUUAAGAUUAUUUUUAUUUAUUUUAAUUUUUUUUCUUAAAAAAUACAAAACUUUAUAUUUAUAAGACUAUGUUAUUUUUAUAUUUUGUUUCAAAUAAACUUAAAAAUAUGUCACGAAACUAUUACUAUAUUAUUUUUUAAUUAUUUUCAAACUUUUUCUCUCUCAAUCUCCCAUUCUCUCCCUACCCCCACCACAACUCCUCAAAGCUUUGUAAUAUUAAUUGUUUGGAGUAUGAUAGAUUAACAACUAAAAGUUAACAAUUUUUCCUCAUCUUUGCUCUCUCAUCAUUUCCUUAUAUAUACACAAGUAACAAGUCAUCAUUUUCAUAGCACUCAAAAACUUAUAUCACCAUUGCAAUCCUCUUCCUCUCUCACCAUAUUCUAAAAGCUAGCAUCUUCAUCACCAUUCAUGGCAUCUUCAACCUUGUCUUUCAGAACUAUCUCCCCUUUCUCUUUGAAACCUGCUACUCUCUCCACAAGAUCAUCGUCACUCGCCACUUCCUCCACCACAUCCCUCUUACACUUUACUUCCUCACACUCAUCUCUCUCAAAAUCUCUCAAACUCAACACCUCUUCCCGGCACUCUCACCUCUCACUCCCCCACAAGAGUUUCACUUGUAGAAGCCAGGCUCAACAAACAUCUGAUUCAGGUACAUACAUGUGCCACCUUCCCCUACGACUUUUUCAAUAUUCAUAUUACAUUAAAGAUCUGUGCGAUUUGCUUGAUUCUGUGCUGACCCUUUUGGUUUUUUCGCUUGAUCUUGCAGCCAAAGUCCAAGAACUAAGAGUAUAUGAGAUUAAUGAGAGAGAUCGUGGAAGCCCUGCUUACCUCAGAUUGAGCCAGAAAACUACCAAUUCUCUUGGUGAUCUCGUCCCCUUCAGCAACAAGGCAUGUUAGAGUUUGGUCUUUGUUUGAUUGAAUGUUCAAAAUCUUUGCAUAGCUUUGGUAUUGAUUUAGAUUUUUUUGGAUGAUUCAGUUGUACUCCGGAUGCUUGCAAAAGAGGGUGGGGAUAACAGCAGGAAUCUGUGUUUUGAUCCAAAACAAAGCAGAGAAGAAAGGAGACAUGUAUGAGGCAAUCUACAGCUUCUACUUUGGGGACUACGGUCACAUUUCAGUGCAGGGUUCUUACCUGACCUAUCAGGACUCAUAUCUUGCUGUCACUGGUGGAACUGGCAUCUUUGAAGGAGUGCAUGGUCAAGUAAAGUGUCAACAACUUGUGUUCCCCUUCAAACUGUUCUACACUUUCUACCUUAAGGGCAUCAAAGACUUGCCUCAGGAGCUUCUUUCCGAGUAUGUUCAGCCCAGCCCUGUUGCUGAGCCCAGCGACGCUGCCAAGGCCUGUGAACCACAUGCUGUUCUUUCUGGUUUUCAAGACUGAGCACCAUUCAAAACCCUAUGUUUCUUUCACUACCCUAACAAUCUCAGUCUACACUAAUUUGAAAUUUCACUAUAGAUUGGGUUAACUCUUUCGUAAUCAAAGGAAUAAACAUGAAGAGAUGUGUGUGGCUGGUGUUAUUGGAGUGUGGGAAGAAUAGACCAGUAAAAAAAUUAACAUUCUUUUGUUUUACCUCUUCACUGUAGAUAUCAGAAAAUGAUAUUUUACUACAUAUUAUGUGGUGCUUGUUAAGUUUUGUCAGAUUGAAAUUAAUUAUAGACUUUGUUUUGUGAGAAAAUUAAUUGUAUGAUUAAUGAUUUGGUGAGAAUUAAUGGUACUAUAUAUUUUAUAUAGAUAUUUACGUCUCUCGGUUUUAACUAGAAAAAUAUUUGGUAGCAUAAUAAAAGAAUUCUUGGUCUCCCUUCUUUCACAGUGUGUAUCUUUACAACCAAAACUUUAUUGUGUACUUUCUGACUUUGCAC